AAGACAUAUAACUGUUUGAAAAAUCAACGUUACAUUGCAACGUCCAUGUAUAGGAGGCAAAGCAGAUGAGAGGAACCAAGAGCUUUUUAACGAUUUAAAGCUUUAUAGUAAGAAGCCCACGCACAGCCGCAGAGGACAAUUCUUACCGGCUCAUCUAUAGCCGGUGAGAUGCACAAAACACUGCAAUAUCGGUCGCGAGACCAGCGAGUAGCAGAGCCAACAACAGCGACAACAACCACAUCAGCAAGCAUCGACGCAUGGACGACGGACGCCGCGACAGCUACCAUCAUCACGCGGACGCCGGACGCCGCGUCAGCCAGCAACAGAAGCAACAACACCAGCGGCGCAGCUAGCCUCACACGCUACGGACAUUUUCACUGUCUCCGGCGCCUCGCAGCUUCACCACUCUCAUAGGUCUCUUCUACUGUCUUCCAAAUUUGUCAAAUUGUUGUCAUUUAAUUCAUCGGGUAAGAAUGAGUUGAAUGAGUCCUGUCAGCAAAUAAUUAGGAGUAAAUCUAGUUGAA